GGUCAAGCGACUAAGUGCAUGUGGUGGAUGCCUUGGCGAUUACAGGCGAUGAAGGACGUGAUAGCCUGCGAUAAGCUUCGGGGAGCUGGCAAAUUAGCUUUGAUCCGGAGAUUUCCGAAUGGGGAAACCCACCGAAAGGUAUCGUACGCUGAAUACAUAGGUGUGCGAGGCGAACCGGGUGAACUGAAACAUCUCAGUAACUCGAGGAAAAGACAUCAACCGAGAUUCCGAAAGUAGUGGCGAGCGAAAUCGGAUCAGCCUGCGUACUUUAGCAUCUCUUCUAUCAGAACGGUCUGGAAAGUCCGGCCACAGCGGGUGAUAGCCCCGUAUGAGAAAGUCGAGAUGUGGAACUAGGUGCGCGACAAGUAGGGCGGGACACGUGAAAUCCUGUCUGAACAUGGGGGGACCAUCCUCCAAGGCUAAAUACUCGUAAUCGACCGAUAGUGAACAAGUACCGUGAGGGAAAGGCGAAAA
rnacentral:rRNA from 1 species